AUUGUUUGUUUUUUUAAAGUAAAAAAAAAAAUGAAAGGUCUUAACAUGAAUCCAACAUAUUAUAAGCAAAUAAACUGUAAAUCAGACAAAUUGUGGGAAAAAAACCCUUUAAUGAUAGACUUACUGAGGUAAGGUAGUCACUAAGAUCCACAGAUACAGUUCAAAAAAUAAGGAUUCACUGUGCCACAUGUAUGAUUAACAUUAAUAUUAGAUAUUAAUUAGAUAUUAAUAUAGAUUUAUAAAUCGUGGCAACAGGUAAUUAAUAGCUUAGUAUUCUGUACACUAUAAAGGCUUUAGGCCCAGUUUAAUAUGAAACUCAGUUUUAUACAACAUAUGUAGUAGGGGGUCCCUGCUCCAUCUCUCUCUCUCAGAUAACAGGUCCAUGGCUUAAAAAACAUUGAAGACCCCUGGUCUAGACCAAUUCAAUUCAAUUCAAUUUUAUUUAUAGCAUCAAUUCAUAACAAGAGUUAUCUCAAGACACUACCACACUCCAGAAUUUACAAGGACCCAACAGUUCUAGUAGUCUCCUCCAGAGCAAGCAACAGUGCGACAGUGGCGAGGAAAAACUUCCUUUUAGGCAGAAACCUCGGUCAGACCCAGGCUCUUGGCAGGCGGUGUCUGACGAGCCGGUUGGGGUUAGACCAUAUAACACUACAAGUAUGAGGAUAAAUGCGUAUUUUUGAUUUUGGGUUGAACUGUCCCUUUAAUGACAACAUCUGUGACAUCCCUUUUUCUUUUUAAGUAGACUAUAUAUUUACCAUUACUGUUUUCGACAAAGACUGACAAAGUCUGACUGCUGGUUAAGUGAUUGGCUGCCGCAGCGUGACGUAAGGUUGCGUUUCUCAAAAAUUAGAAUUUUUUUUUUUCUGCUCGGCUUUACGUGUGAUUUAUACUUCUGCGUACAUUGUACGCCGUUGCUACUUAUGUAGGUACGUGGAGACACGAACCUACGUCGGACCCCACGCCAUAGCCUGACGAGCACCUCUCAAAAAAUGUAACUACACGUCGUGGCGACACUCGAAAACCACGUCGCUCUGCCGUGGUUUUUGCCGGAGCCCCUGGUCUAGUGUAAAUACGGCCUUAAGGUGACAACACAUCCUUUGGCGGCCAUUUUGGAGGAAACAAGGACUCAGAACAGCCAAGGGUGUUUGCAGAUACAUGGCUGCCUCCACAGACAUUAAUAGACAUGAUUAAUAUUGGUUGUGUUUCUGACUGAAACAGUCACUGUCAUUGUGUCACUAACGUCUUUGGUAUGUUUACAUAAUGUUAGUCUAACCAUACAUGAAAACAUGUGUUUUGUGCACCAGCUAACAUGGAUAGUAACUUUGUUUCAUGUGAACGUUAACAUGUUGAUUAUUCGACAGGCUUGUUAGUUCUCUGGCCGAGCCAAAAACAUCAACUGUGUACUCUCAAAAGUACGCUGAGUAAAACUUUGGCAGAGAAACCGGGGCUGAAGACGGUUCAACUUUCAAUUUAUUGUACAUGGUCUGUCCUGUAACGGACUUCACUAUUGGUUUACCCUUAGCACUCUGACAUCUACAGCAGAAACAUGGAUACCCAUUGGUGUCACUGUUGGAUGACUCGGUUAGAAAGAGCUGUUUGAUCAUGUUAAGGUUAAGCUUAUACUACGUGUCGUUCGAACCCUUCUCAAGGUCAAAUGCUUCAAGGCAGGGUUAAGACUUUGCAAUUACUGAGAACGGCGAGAUGCGAUGAUUGUGCAAAUGGAGAUAACGGGCACACACUUUUGGGUUAGUUUCUCCUCAGAGACAUUCCCAGUCUUGAACUUGUCACUCAAGCAAAACUGCAUGAAAAAGAGUCUCACACCGCUCAACACAUCUGGCAAAUCACUGGUUGAAGUGGUUGUGGUUUUGGUAAGGAGUUUUAGAUACAUUUCACUAAACUUUUAAAUGAGGAAUAUGGAAGGCUGUAUCCAGUUUAAGCAACAUAUAUUGGUUUAAAGUUUUUGAACAGCCAGGGCUCAGACACUGAGGCCCUCUUGCUUGGUUCCCCGGUCUUGGGAAGAUAAUCUAACCAAUAGCAAAGUCUGUUACAAAUCUACUCAGAGGGUCGCAAACAGUUUUGAAUGACUGUAACUUACCUCCUACCAAAGACAAAUAUACACAAGUACUUUGUACAGCAGAAAACAUGGUGUCACCCAGAUUAAGUUUCAAUUAUUUGAAAUUCUGUGACUGAAUAGCGCUCUAUUCAGUUGGAUAGUUCUUCAAUAUACAUGCUUGUCAACUACAUUGGGAUUAGGUACAAAAGAUUUUGUUAUUAGAAGGGGAAGAUUGUGAUCAAGAUCAUGAUUGGGUCACUGAACGGGCAUACAAUACCAGGCCCAGGAUCCCAGUGGGGUCAGGGAGCCGCAAAACACCUACAAGAAAUGCUAAAUGAACACAGAGAGAGUCCUGGUUCACUGAGUCUCACCUUGCCAAACAGUCUAGUUUGGCCUGGACCAAAGUUCAUUUGAUAGUUGCCACACCAUACUAAACAAACUGUACCAAAUGGGCAAAUCCACAAGAGUUUGUUUGAACUGUUGGUCUUCUCUAAAUUCAUUUUUGUUCACAUUAUUUUCUGCAUUGGCGCGGAACACUGACAAGAAACAAAUACUAUUGCAAAGAGUUGUGUAUGAUUGAGGUUGGUAGGAGACUGGGUUUAUUCACUUUUACUUUACAAGAGUUUCUUUUUCCCGCCUGGUUGAUAUUUGAAUAACUUCCGGCCAAUUUUCCAAUGGAUCGUCGGCCAAUCGCAAUGGUUGCUAGGCAAGUUAUGCUAUAAAACCAAUUCCUGUAUAUGAGCAGAGGGUGCAAAUACUAAGACAGUGUGAGCGAGCUAAUCAAACGCAUGUAUAAUGUGCGUGCUGCAUCACCGAGCGUCCUUCCCAUGCUCUGUGGUAUGUGACACAUGUAGACGUCAAGUGGUUUCUUGGUUAUAUGCCUGCUUUGUUUGACUAAACCGUUUCAAAAGAGAAUAGAGAAGAAGAAAAAGAAGAAACAAAAAGAGAAACAUUCCUUGUUUUGCAUCCAGACCAGUGGUUGUAAACCGCUCUGUUCCGAGCACUCGCUCACUUGAUAUUGUGAUGUUUUCCUCCCUCGUUUAAUAAAAAAAAAGAAAAAGAAAUUGAAUAUCAAUGUUUGUGAUAUCCAUCCGCCUGUGUUUUUGGCGUGAACCAGCAAGAAGCCCAUAAGACUAUAAAGUUAAAAGUAAAUUGGCCAUUGAAUGUUAAAUCAGGGACUUUAUAAAUGUGCAAUUUCCCCCAUUUCAAAAAUAAACUAAGGAAAUCUUUUUUUCAAUCUGGCGCGAAAAAGGAUUCCCCUCCCUUCGCCGAAAUAGCUGGUCUUUUUUCGGAGGUUGUAGCAGUAAUUUAGUGUUUUGUAUGUUUGUGUUUUUAAAAAAAAAAAAAUCCACAGAUUCCUAAGAGAUAUAUUUUAUACUUAUUUAUUGUACAGACACAGUUGAUCCAAAUCUACAAGGGCCAUCUUUUGAGUUGUAUUGUAUUACUGUCUGGUAUGUAUACUGUAUGUUAGACUAUUAUUGCUCCAUUUUAAAAGAUUUGUAUCAUCUGCGUACAGUACAUGCAUUUAUGACUCUCGGUAUAGUUGGAUUGUUUUAACUGUACACCAAAUGGCUGUGUUGUAUAUGUGGCUUGGACUUGUAAAGUAAGCUCAACAACUUUGAAUUUCUUUGAGGACUUUUGUACAGAAAUCAAUAAAUGAUGAUGACCAGUU